ACCACCGAGGGCACCGAAAUCACCAUCAACUGCUCACACUCCAACAUCCAGUCAAACGAAUUGAUCUACUGGUACCGUCAGCUCCGGGGCCGAGGCCCCGAAUUCCUCGUGAGCAUUCACAAAGGCUCCAGAGAUCUGCCGGACAAGACGGGACAGGUGUUGGUGUCGCCAGACCGUCGCUGGAGCUCCCUCUGGCUCUCCGGGCCCCGUGCUGGGGACGCGGCGGUGUAUUACUGUGCCCUGGCAGACACGGCCAGAGGAGCCGGGGCUGCGGCGUGUGUAACUGCUGCUCUUGUCUUUGGGAAAGGAACUCAACUGACCGUGGAGCCAAGCAGUCCAAAACAUUCUGUCCCACAAGUCAUUGUGAUGAAAUCAAAGAAACUGGAAGAAGGAGGCAGCACUGGGAAAGCAGCUUGUUUGGCAAGGAAUUUCAGUACAAAGAGCAUCAGCUUGGAGAUGUCCUCUGAUGAGGUCGUGUAUGAACAGAGCACACCCAUUCUGGCAUCAGAGGGGUUGUACAGUGCUAUGAAGGUGGUCAGUGUGACAAAAGACACAGAGGUGACCUGCAAGGCCCAUUUGGACACUGGCACCUUUACAGCAUCGUCAGAAAAGGAGGCUGAAGAACCAGUAACAAGGACCAGUAACAGGGUUUGCAACAGCACAGACACCUCUGCCCAAGGUACCACAGUGCAGAGAGUGAACAUGCUGUCUGUGGCUGUGCUGGGUUUGAGAGUCCUGCUGGCAAAAAGCAUCGCCUUCAAUACACUCAUGAGUGUCAAGUUGGUUCUUUUCUGAGGCGUGUGGAGUCAAGACAGGAGGAACCUGAAGAACUGCAGGGAAGAACCUGAACCAGCAGCACAACGGGCUGGACAAGCAGUGUCACAUCUGCUGACAGUGAGCACCCAGAUCACAACACAGCCCCUUCCCCCUUAGACAUUUGAUAUGUUCAAUCCUGCCCAGCCAGUUCAUUUAGAUUUAGGAGUCGUAACUGCUUUUGCUAUUUCUUUUUCUCUGGGCACUGAGGAGAGUGCAUUUCUCCUCAUCCUCCUGCUGAGUAGAUCUCCCCACUGUUCUGGCAUUUACACAGGAAUGUCCAACCUGCCUCAAUGGUUUUAGAAAAACCCAGUCCUCACUAUUGAUACAUAUAUAGAGAGCUGUAUAACAUUUUAAAUCAGCUUUCACAGGCUGUUGUGUUACUGUCUGUAGAACUGGUGUGUUACUGCAGAGACAAUUCAG